rnacentral:rRNA from 1 species
UACGUAGGUGGCGAGCGUUGUCCGGAUUUACUGGGCGUAAAGAGCGCGCAGGCGGUCGUUCAAGUCGCGUGUGAAAGCCCCCGGCUCAACUGGGGAGGGUCACGCGAUACUGAUCGACUCGAAGGCAGGAGAGGGUAGUGGAAUUCCCGGUGUAGUGGUGAAAUGCGUAGAUAUCGGGAGGAACACCCGUGGCGAAGGCGGCCAACUGGGCCGGACCUGACGCUGAGGCGCGAAGGCGUGGGGAGCGAACGGG